UGCAAGUCGAACGGUAACAGUUCUAGCUUGCUAGAAGAUGACGAGUGGCGGACGGGUGAGUAAUGCUUGGGAACUUGCCUUUGCGAGGGGGAUAACAGUUGGAAACGACUGCUAAUACCGCAUAAUGUCUUCGGACCAAACGGGGCUUCGGCUCCGGCGCAAAGAGAGGCCCAAGUGAGAUUAGCUAGUUGGUAAGGUAACGGCUUACCAAGGCGACGAUCUCUAGCUGUUCUGAGAGGAAGAUCAGCCACACUGGGACUGAGACACGGCCCAGACUCCUACGGGAGGCAGCAGUGGGGAAUAUUGCACAAUGGGGGAAACCCUGAUGCAGCCAUGCCGCGUGUGUGAAGAAGGCCUUCGGGUUGUAAAGCACUUUCAGUUGUGAGGAAAAGUUAGUAGUUAAUACCUGCUAGCCGUGACGUUAACAACAGAAGAAGCACCGGCUAACUCCGUGCCAGCAGCCGCGGUAAUACGGAGGGUGCGAGCGUUAAUCGGAAUUACUGGGCGUAAAGCGCACGCAGGCGGUUUGUUAAGCUAGAUGUGAAAGCCCCGGGCUCAACCUGGGAUGGUCAUUUAGAACUGGCAGACUAGAGUCUUGGAGAGGGGAGUGGAAUUCCAGGUGUAGCGGUGAAAUGCGUAGAUAUCUGGAGGAACAUCAGUGGCGAAGGCGACUCCCUGGCCAAAGACUGACGCUCAUGUGCGAAAGUGUGGGUAGCGAACAGGAUUAGAUACCCUGGUAGUCCACACCGUAAACGCUGUCUACUAGCUGUGUGUGUCUUUAAGACGUGCGUAGCGAAGCUAACGCGCUA
rnacentral:rRNA from 1 species